rnacentral:rRNA from 1 species
GUGGGGAAUAUUGGACAAUGGGCGAAAGCCUGAUCCAGCCAUGCCGCGUGUGUGAAGAAGGUCUUCGGAUUGUAAAGCACUUUAAGUUGGGAGGAAGGGCAGUAAGUUAAUACCUUGCUGUUUUGACGUUACCGACAGAAUAAGCACCGGCUAACUUCGUGCCAGCAGCCGCGGUAAUACGAAGGGUGCAAGCGUUAAUCGGAAUUACUGGGCGUAAAGCACGCGUAGGUGGUUUUGUAAGUUGGAGGUGAAAUCCCCGGGCUCAACCUGGGAACUGCCUCCAAAACUGCAUGACUAGAGUACGGUAGAGGGUAGUGGAAUUUCCUGUGUAGCGGUGAAAUGCGUAGAUAUAGGAAGGAACACCAGUGGCGAAGGCGACUACCUGGACUGAUACUGACACUGAGGUGCGAAAGCGUGGGGAGCAAACAGGAUUAGAUACCCCGGUAGUCC